UACAGAGGUCCCAAGCGUUGUUCGGAUUCAUUGGGCGUAAAGGGUGCGUAGGUGGCGUGGUAAGUCGGGUGUGAAAUCCCGGGGCUCAACCCCGGGACUGCAUUCGAUACUGCCAUGCUUGAGGACUGGAGAGGAGACUGGAAUUUACGGUGUAGCAGUGAAAUGCGUAGAGAUCGUAAGGAAGACCAGUGGCGAAGGCGGGUCUCUGGACAGUUCCUGACACUGAGGCACGAAGGCCAGGGGAGCAAACAGG
rnacentral:rRNA from 1 species